GAGGAGUACUAAGAGUGGGCAUCCUUGUUCCCAUUCUCAGAGGGAAUGCUUUCAACUUUUCCCCAUUCAGUAUUAUGUUGGCUUUGGGUUUGUCAUAGAUGGCUUUUGUUACAUUAAGACUGGAAGAGAAUGGCCCAGAUCCUCUGGACUCCUCAGAUGAGCGGAUUCAGAGAGAAGCUUUUGAGAGCGUGCUGGCAGAGACAUUUUUCACAAAAGAGCCCUUGCGGUGCUGGUGUCCAUGGCGUGCCUGGGAAGGCCCACCAACGCGGGCCGGCCUCCAAGCACCCAGGCCUCUGCUCACGUACAGCUCCUGAACUGCCCUGCCUCUGAGUUACUGUGGAAAACGAGCUUAUAUAUGAAGAAGUCAGCGAGUGGACAAAGCCAGGCGCAAUGGAUAGCAAAGAUGUGGAAGUCUCCUCGAUUCAAGUUAGAAGAAAACCACAGCAUGGAGUCUGCUCUCAGCUGUUGGGGAAUUACUGAUGCCUUUGACUAAGUCAAGACUGACUUUUCCAGAAUAUCACCCAAGAGAUAAAGCCGUCCCUGUCCAAGUUUGUGCGCUAGCCCUUCAUGGAGGUCAGAGAGGAAGAAACAAAGGCAGCUGUGGCCUUGGCGGUCACAGUGUCAGAACGCACAAGCCCCAUAAAGAGGUUUCACGCAGGCCACCCAUCCCUUUUCAUUCUCCAGCAGAACAGGACAGAGAGCGUUCUGUUCUGCGGAAGGUCUUCCACUCUACAAGGCAAUCCCUCCAGCUGCUUUGCUGUAUUGUGCUGUCUCCUGUCACACUGAAUGCAGUGACCUCAGCCAGCAGCAGGGAGAACCCCCCUGCCUCCCGAACAAAGGACCUCACGUGAAAUCCUGAGCUCAGAGCUUACAGAUAUGUGUGUGCUUUCACUUUACAUCGGCCGUGACUUUCAAACAACUUCAGGAAACUUUAGGAUCUCUGAGGUACACUGGAGAUUACAGCAGCGUAGAAUGUUCUUUUGGAUUUAGAACAGAAAUGCUUAUUUUAUAUUUGGCUGCUCCCAAACUGUCCCCAGACCUCCUCUCCAGUGGUUACCCUCCACUGCCCUGGAUGUCCCACAUUCACACUCACACCUCCACCCUAACAAAGUCCUCCACUGGGUCAAACCAUACAUCGCUUCGUCUCUGUAGUGACGACUUCCUGUCCUCUGCUCUGUGGAUAAAGACCCCAGAUAAAGAUGCCUGUGUUGCUCAACUCUUGUAAAUACUCUUGAGACAUUCUGAAAGCAGAAGGAAAGGAGACAGACGAUGUGGGAAAAUAAAAGGGAUGGUCUGUGCGGAAACGUUUUGAGAAUGCCCUUCCCUAAGAGAGAACAGUAAAAGUGAACAAUACUUCCUGA
rnacentral:lncRNA from 1 species